rnacentral:rRNA from 1 species
CAUAAUCUCUAUGGAGAAAAGCAGGGGAUCGCAAGACCUUGCGCUUUUGGAGCGGCCGAUGUCUGAUUAGCUAGUUGGUGAGGUAAAGGCUUACCAAGGCUUCGAUCAGUAGCUGGUCUGAGAGGACGACCAGCCACACUGGGACUGAGACACGGCCCAGACUCCUACGGGAGGCAGCAGUGGGGAAUUUUGGACAAUGGGGGCAACCCUGAUCCAGCCAUGCCGCGUGAGUGAAGAAGGCCUUCGGGUUGUAAAGCUCUUUCAGCCGGAACGAAAAGGUUACGGUUAAUACCCGUGACUAAUGACGGUACAGGAAGAAGAAG